GAUGAACGCUGGCGGUAUGCUUAACACAUGCAAGUCGAACGGACUCUUCGGAGUUAGUGGCGGACGGGUGAGUAACGCGUGAGAAUCUGGCUUUGGGUUCGGGACAACCACUGGAAACGGUGGCUAAUACCGGAUGUGCCGAGAGGUAUAAGAGAAAUUGCCUGAAGAUGAGCUCGCGUCUGAUUAGCUGGUUGGUGAGGUAAAGGCUCACCAAGGCAGCGAUCAGUAGCUGGUCUGAGAGGAUGACCAGCCACACUGGGACUGAGACACGGCCCAGACUCCUAGGGGAGGCAGCAGUGGGGAAUUGUCCGCAAUGGGCGAAAGCCUGACGGAGCAAUACCGCGUGAGGGAAGAAGGCUCUUGGGUUGUAAACCUCUGUGCUUAGGGAGGAACAAAAUGACGGUACCUAAGGAAUCAGCAUCGGCUAACUCCGUG
rnacentral:rRNA from 1 species